rnacentral:lncRNA from 12 species
AUGCUAAAGGUCAGCCGGCCGAGGCAAAGAGGUCCUUCCCACUACUGCACCUGGCCUCCACAUCACAGCCUCGGACUUCAGGGACUCAGGGGAAUUAAGGGACUAAAUACAUCCAUUAAAGGCCAAUUCCUCCUCUGCAUUUCAAUCCAGCUCUGCACGCCGCACCUAGAGAAGCCCUACGAGGGAGGAAGAUGGGAAAGGCCGGGCCUCUCCCAAACCGGCUCACCUAAACCCCUUUCCGGGGACUGCCAGGGCGGGGUAGGCGGACAGCUGUCGCCCAGCCCCUCCGGAGUCUGCGCCCAUAUAAGGGCAGCGCUUCCCGUCGGCGGGGCGGGGACGCGCGGGGGCUCACGUCAGCGGGCGGCGGGGGCGGCCCCGGGAGGGGGCGGAGGCGGGGGCGGGAGGGAGGCGGGCGCGGCCCCGGGCGGGAGGGAGGAGGGGGCGGGAGGGAGGCGAGCGCGGCCCCGGGCGGGGGGCGCCUGGGGGUGCGGGGGUCGCGCGGUUGCGCACUUUCCGAGCGGGCGGCGGGGGCGCGCGUGUGUGCGUCCUGGUCCCGGUACGGCCGAGGGCGUUUGGUCUCCAGGCGUCGGGGCCGGGCCGGGAGCUUUGCCCGGGGUGUUUGGAGACGAUCGCGCCUCCACCCUUUCCCUCGGUGCGCGGUGCGCGGUGCGCGAGCAAAGGGACUCCCGGCCCUGCGCUCCCGGAGACGCCCCCCGCCCCAGAAAGCCUCACGAGGGGCGCUGCUGUGAGGACAGGGCUGCCUUUUUACCCAGCCGCCUCCCAGCCACCCCUGUCCCAACCAAAUCGAAUACAAACAGGAGAAGCCCUAAAAAGGAAGUUUUCGGGAUGGUUAGUGCCAGGCGGAGGCCUGCAAACAGACGAGAAAUUAAAGGAGAGAAACUCAGGCUCACGUUUCCACCUUGGAGCCUUUAUGGAGCCUUGGCGGGGCGCGGCAGGGCGCGGUGUCCGUGCUCAGGUGAAGCCCCCCUCGGACUGUGGCUCUUAGAGCCCUGCCUGUGUCACCUGAAAUUGUGA